UUUGGCACAGGAGUGGGUGGGUCCUGCAGCCAAUCCCCCACAAAUACUGAGGAACAACUGUACAGUUAAAUAAGAUGAAUGCCGGGCGCGGUGGCUCAAGCCUGUAAUCCCAGCA